GUACUUGCUUUGGUAAUAUUUAUACUAAAAUUGGAAUGAUACAGAGAUGAUGGGCAUGGCCCCUGUGCAAGGAUGACAAGCAAAUUCAUGAAAGCAUUCUCUAUUUU
ensembl:snRNA U6 U6 spliceosomal RNA